rnacentral:rRNA from 1 species
CCUACGGGUGGCAGCAGUAGGGAAUAUUGCACAAUGGGGGAAACCCUGAAGCAGCAACGCCGCGGGGAGGAUGAAGGUUUUCGGAGUGUAAACUCCUUUUGGUAGAGAAGACAAUGACGGUACCUAACGAAUAAGCACCGGCUAACUCCGUGCCAGCAGCCGCGGUAAUACGGAGGGGGCAAGCGUUACUCGGAUUCACUGGGCGUAAAGGGCGCGUAGGCGGGAUAGCAAGUCAGAUGUGAAAUCCUAUGGCUUAACCGUAGAACUGCAUUUGAAACUGUUAGUCUAGAGUAUGGGAGAGGUAGGUGGAAUGCUUGGUGUAGGGGUGAAAUCCGUAGAGAUCAGGAGGAAUACUCAUUGCGAAGGCGGCCUGCUAGAACAUAACUGACGCUGAGGCGCGAAAGCGUGGGGAGCAAACAGGAUUAGAUACCCCUGUAGUC